CAAUAAAUGUCUGAUACAUUAACUUUCUUCCUCUGCACUCAGUAGGGAGCCAAGAUGAAGUCAAAGGUUGGUCAGGACACUCUUCCUGGACAUUUAUAUUAGAUAAAAUAUUGUCCUCUCUUCCCACCACUGACAUCGAAUCUAACAAAGAAAGAGAAAUAAAAUAUAUAAACUGCAAUUGGAGGGUUGAUUCUUUUAUUGAUGAGUAGCAAAUUCUCUGCAGAACCCACAAUACUUAAGCAGUACUCCAGGGCCACAUGAAGAUACUGUUGGUGACUACUCAACAAGCUUGCAUUAAGCGCCUAUGAAAAACAACCAUAUGGCUUAGACCUGCCCUCGGGAAGUUCACAGUCUAGGUGGGAAGACACAUUCAAACACAUAAUGUGGCUCUAGGGCAAAGGCUUGAAUGCAGUCAUGGUUAGUUAAACAAGCCUGUCUCAGAAUCAUCUGGCAAACUUGUUAAAACACAAGUCCUAGACUCCAUCCCCACUGAUACUGGGUCAGGGAUCAUGCCCAUGAUCUUACAUUUCUAGCAAACUCCAGUGAUGCUGUUCUGCUAUUUUAUGGCUGUUUGAGUAGCAUCGUUAUAUUAGAAGUCAAAGUAAUGGGAUUAUUUAUAGAGGAGGGAAAGAGUAAUUUCUUGCAGUAGGGAGGAUGUUAUCUGGAGUGACUUUAUGGAGGAAGUACUGUAGUUUUUAAUCAAAGCCUAGAAGUCUGGGUAGGAUUUCAGCAGGCAGCAACUAUAAGUGUCUUCACAUAAAUAAAAUACUAACAAGUCAGGAAACAAUGCAGAAAUGCAGAAUAUAUUCAGCAAGCAGAAUAGCAGGGUGCAUAAGUUGUGGAAGGCAGAGUGACAGAAAGCAAUGCUGGUCACUGGUUUCUAGAAGACCUUGAGUCUACUGACUGGGUGCUGAGGCAGAGGAGGUCAAGCUUAUUUUGUAACUGACAGGGAUCAUGAAAUAUUUUUGAACAUGGGAAGAAUGUCAUCAGUUCAAUGACCUAAUGCUUCAUGUCUGAGUGUGAGAUGGAUUGGAGGAAGUGAUGAGGAAUGGGAAGACGAUUUGGUCCACAGACUUAUUAAAGUCUUUAAGUGAUAAAGAGGUCAUCUGGAAGCCUAACCUAGGCCAGUGGGAGUAGUAAGAAGGCAUUAGACAGGAAGAGAAAGUGGAAGACAUAUCAUCAGAAUUUUAAAAUUAAAUUACACAUGGUAGAUGAGAGAGAGGAACAAGUCAAAAAUGACCCUAAGGAGCAGAGACUGAGUACUGAUGCCAGCAGAAGAGAAAGGAAUUUUAGGGAAAGAAAGGAUUCAACAAGGAAGAUAGUGAGCUUGGUUUUGUACCUAUCGAAUUUGAGGUGCCUACAAGUUAUCUAGUAGCUUGCAUUGCAAGCCGAGGUUCAGUAGAGAGGCUGAGGCUGUGCAGACAUUAAAUAUUUUUCAUUAUCUGAGUGUGUCAUGCGGAAGUGAUUAUGGAACCCAGGAGAGUAGAUGACUUCAUCAGGGAGUACACACAGAGUGAGGAGAAGAUGAAGGCAACUGAACCUUAGGGAGUGUCUACAUGUAACUGGUUGGUGGAAGAGCCUGCAGAGAAGACUCAGCAAGAAUGGUCUGGGAGGCCCUGGGGAGGCAGCUGAAUGCUGUGUUCAGAACAACAAGGGAGAAGACUUUGGCAGGGAGUGAUUCGAAGAGUUAACUGCGACAGAAGCUGAGAAGGAGGAAAGAGAAGCCAUUGGAUGUGUGGCUCGGGACGUUCAGGGGUGCACUUUCCAUGGCGGGGCAGGAUCCAGGCUUCAGGGAGUCAGUAAGUAAACUGGGGUGAGGAAGUAGAGGAAGCGAGUGGUCAGUGGUGACAGAAAGAAAAUGGGACAGUAACUCGAGAGGGAGACAAGGUCAUGGGAGGAUUUGGUUGUUUUUUCAGGGUCUGGAGAUGUGCAUGUGUGUAGGCCAAGGGGAAGGAGCCCGUGGGAAGGGAAGGAUUAAAGAGGUAGUAAGAAAGAGAGGAGGGGAGUGAGGCUGCGAGUCUGGGAAGGGUGGAGAGGCUGGGACGGAAAGCUCUGGGGCUGAAGGGCCACUUCAGUAUGAGGUCCUUUGGGUGUUCUGGCAACGAAACUGACUUGGACAAGGUCCAAGCAAGACUCUCCUUUCACUAAAGCAAACAGCAUGGUGGCACUAACACUUCUCUGAGAAGCUCAAAUACAGAGAUGUCUCUUUUUCCCCCCAAGACCGGUCUUUCCACUUUCAAGCAUUCAAAAAGGUCCAAAAGUUAAAUUAGAGUUUCAAUAUUCUAAUUUUCCAACAAAUUUAUUUCCUUCAUGGGUUAGCCAAAUCAAGGAGUCUUUUCCCUCACCUGGGUCCCCAAAUUUAAUUAGCCAACUUCCUCCUUCCCUUCUGAGAGUCAGAAAAUAGACUUUUUUUCUCUCCUUCCCCUCCUGGCUUUUGCUUAUCUAAGCUAGGGUCCCCAUGAGAGCUUUCAGCUGCUUUAUUUCAGCUGGUCCCUCAUAGCCACACUGACUCUGGUUAACCUUCUCUAGCUUCUCUGGGACCACUUUUAGGAAAGUUUGCUAGGUAUUCUGACCUACUAAUAGGUCCCUUAAGGGGAAGUCCACACCAUCACAGUAGAUCUUACUACCUAACACCUAGUGAAAUCCUAGGCUUUGCUGAGCUCAGCCAAGACACCACAGGAAACACAUGGUCUGGGGUUCCCAGAGAGAUUGUCUAUAUCUCAAAGAAUAAUGCUAAACAGACAGAAUACAAAACUGUCUGGAAUAGAAGGCUUUGGGGUUUUAAAGAGCCCACUUUUUGUUUUUUCUAAAAAUUUGUUUGGGAGGGAUUAGCUUUGUGACUAAGCAUAGGAAAUAGAUGAAAUGUGUUUCCUAGAUUUCAUCUUAUUCUUAGGUAGUAUUAUGGCAUUAUUAAUCUCACCAUGGCAUUGUUCCACAUGCUAAUGCUUUUUAAAAAGCAUGUCAUUAGUUUGAGUGACAGAAACAUGUUCUGCACCCUUCAUAGAUAUUCAAUAUCUCUGUUCUUAAAACAUUUUCUUAAACAUCAAGUUCUGUUCCAUAACAUUUACAGAAACACAGCACUGAAAAUUGUAACUGUCUCAUCUUUCAUGGUAAAUUGAAGAUUUCAGGAGAAAGAAAAUGACCAAACACGAUUAUAAAAAUGGCAAGUGGGACAUAAACUUCUGCUCUAAGGCAUAGUUUCAAAUUUUUUUUUAUUAUACUUUAAGUUCUGGGAUACAUGUGCAGAACGUGUAGGUUUGUUACAUAGGUAUACACAUGCCAUGGUGGUUUGCUGCACCCAUCACCCUGUCAUCUACAUUAGGUAUUUCUCCUAAUGUUAUCCCUCCCCUAGCCCCCCACCCCACUGACAGGCCCCUGUGUGUGAUGUUCCCCUCCCCAGAUCCAUGUGUUCUCAUUGUUCAACUCUCACCUAUGAGUGAGAACAUGCGGUGUUUGGUUUUCUGUUCUUGUGUUAGUUUGCUGAGAAUGAUGGUUUCCAGCUUCACCCAUGUCCCUGCAAAGGACAUGAACUCAUCCUUUUAAUGGCUGCAUAGUAUUCCAUGAUGUAUAUGUGCCACAUUUUCUUUAUCCAGGCUAUCAUUGAUAGGCAGUUGGGCUGGUUCCAAGUCUUUGCUAUUGUGAACAGUGCCACAAUAAAUGUACAUGUGCAUGUAUCUUUAUAGAAUGAUUUAUAAUCCUUUGGGUAUAUAGCCAGUAAUGGGAUUGCUGGGUCAAACGGUAUUGCUGGUUCUAGAUCCCUGAGGAAUCGCCACACUGUCCUCCACAAUGGUUGAACUAAUUUACACUGCCACCAACAGUGUAAAAGGGUUCCUAUUUCUCCACAUCUUCUCCAGCACCUGUUGUUUCCUGACUUUUUAAUGAGGGGCAUUCUAACUGGUGUGAGAUGGUAUCUCAUUGUGGUUUUGAUUUGCAUUUCUCUAAUGACCAGCGAUUAUGAGGUUUUUUUUCAUGUGUUUAUUGGCCACAUAAAUGUCUUCUUUUGAGAAGUGUCUGUUCAUAUAUCCUUCGCUUACUUUUUGAUGGGGUUGUUUUUUUCUUGUAAAUUUGUAUAAGUUCUUUGUAGAUUCUGGAUAUUAGCCCUUUGUCAGAUGGAUAGAUUGCAAAAAUUUUCUCCCAUUCUGUAGGUUGCCUGAUCACUCUGAUGAUAGUUUCUUUUGCUGUGCAGAAGCUCUUUAGUUUAAUUAGAUCCUAUUUUUCAAGUUUGGCUUUUGUUGCCAUUUCUUUUUGUGUUUUAGUCAUGAAGUCUUUGCUCAUGCCUAUGUCCUGGAUGGUAUUGCCUAGGUUUUCUUCUAGGAUUUUUAUGGUUUUAUGUUUUAUGUUUAAGUCUUUAAUCCAUCUUAAUUUUUGUAUAAGGUGUAAGGAAGGGGUCCAGUUUCAGUUUUCUGCAUAUGGCUAGCCAGUUUUCCCAACACCACUUAUUAAAUAGGGAAUCCUUUCCCCAUUGUUUGCUUUUGUCAGGUUUGUCAAAGAUCAGAUGGUUGUAGAUGUGUGGUGUUAUUUCUGAGGCUUCCGUUCUGUUCCAUUUGUCUAUAUAUCUAUUUUGGUACCAGUACCAUGCUGUUUUUUGUUACCAUAGCCUUGUAGUAUAGUUUGAAGUCAAGUAGUGUGAUGCCUCCAGCUUUGUUCUUUUUGCUUAGGAUUGCCUUGACUAUACAGGCUCCUUUUUGGUUCCAUAUGAAUGUUAAAGUAGUUUUUUCUAAUUCUGUGAAGAAAGUCAAUGGUAGCUUGUUGGGGAUAGCAUUGAAUCUAUAAAUUACUUUGGGCAGCAUGGCCAUUUUCAUGAUAUUGAUUCUUCCUAUCCAUGAGCAUGGAAUGUUUUUCCAUUUGUUUGUGUCCUCUUUUAUUUCAUUGAGCAGUGGUUUGUAGUUCUCCUUGAAGAGGUUCUUCACAUCUCUUGUAAUUUGUAUUCCUAGGUAUUUUAUUCUCUUAGCAAUUGUGAAUUGGAGUUCACUCAUGAUUUGGCUGUUUGUCUAUUAUUGGUAUAUAGGAAUGCUUCUGAUUUUUGCACAUUGAUUUUGUAUCCUGAGACUUUGCUGAAGUUGCUUAUCAGCUUAAGGAGUUUUUGGGCUGAGACGAUGAGGUUUUCCAAAUAUACAAUCAUAUCAUCUGCAAACAGAGACAAUUUGACUUCCUCUCUUCCUAUCUGAAUAUGCUUUCUUUCUUUCUCUUGCCUGAUUGCCCUCACCAGAACUUUCAAUACUAUGUUGAAUGGAGUGGUGAGAGAGGGCAUCCUUGUCUUGUGCUGGUCUUCAAAGGGAAUGCUUCCAGCUUUUGCCCAUUCAGUGUGAUAUUGGCUGUGGGUUUGUCAUAAAUAGCUCUUAUCAUUUUGAGAUACAUUCCAUGAAUACCUAGUUUGAGAGUUUUUAACAUGAAGGGUUAUUGAAUUUCAUCAAACGCCUUUUCUGCAUCUAUUGAGAUAAUCAUGUGAUUUUUGUCCGUGGUUCUGUUUAUGUGAUGGAUUUACGUUUAUUGAUUUGUGCCUGUUAAACCAGCCUUGCAUCCCAGGGAUGAAGCCGAUUCGAUAGUAGCGGAUAAGCUUUUUGAUGUGCUGCUGGAUUCAAACUGAAGCCGGCAAACCGAAUCAAAACAUUUUUAUAACACGAAUAUGAAGAGUUUAUUUCCUACUGUCUUUAAUUUUUGUUUCAGCCUUUAAAAUAAUAUUCAUGGAAAUUUGUGAGAAUAUGGAUUUAAUAAAAUAUAGAGAAUAAACUGUGCUUUAAAAUUAGAAAUGGAGUAAUAUAUAUUAUUGCAUUUUUUGGUGUAAUUGUGUUGCUAUCAAGUCUUUAUUCUAUUUUCAAAAGUAUUCGUCUGUCAAUCCUUAUGUUGCAGUAAUAAAAAAAUUUAAUAUCUGCUCGUGAAAUAUAAUAAUCAUUUUGCCUGAGUGGAUGUAACCACUAACCAAAGUGACCCGGUGAGCAUGUAAGGAAAAGAGUUUGCCCGUUUAUGCUGCUUCACAUCUUCCAGUGUGAAGAGCAGGUUCAUAUGGAGGCUACACACAGAUGCUAGAGUCAGACUGGUUUAAAUCACAGCUCUGUGUGACCUUCAUCAAUAUACUUGCUAACCCGCUGUCUCGGAUUCCUCUUCUGUAAUAUGGGGAUUAUAAAAUAGUAAUCUACCUGAAACGGUGUGGCGACUAAAUAAUUUAAUGUUGGCAGAGUGCUGCAACAGACGCUGAGGCUACUCCAUGCAAAUACCCAUCCCUACCUGCUGAGGGUUUGGGCCACUAAAGACUCAGACCUGACCAGGCAUGGUGGCUCACACCUGCAAUCCCAGCACUUUGGGAGGCUGAAGUGGGCAGAUCACUUGAGGUCAGGAGUUUGAGACUAGCCUGGGCAACAUGGAGAAGCCCCGUCUCUGCUAAAAAUACAAAAAUUAGCCAGUUGUGGUGGCGCACACCUGUAGUCCCAGCUACUCAGGAGGCUGAGGCAGGAGAAUCACUUGAACCCAGGAGGUGGAGGUUGCAGUGAGCCAAGAUCACGCCACUGCACUCCAGCCUGGGCAACAGAGCAAGACUUCAUGUCAAAAAAAAAAAAAAAAAGAAAAAGAAAAAGAAAAAGAAAAAGAAAAGAAAAGAAAAGAAAAGAAAAGAAAAGAAAAGAAAAGAAAAGAAAAGAAAUAUUCACACCUGCACCCUUCUCAAGAGGCUUGCCCCUGGCUGACAGGUACUCUCUUGAGGGGGUGCUUGUUAUGCACUCUCCCAGCACCCACUACUGCAAGUGGCCCAUAACUAAUGACCUACUGGUUCAGGGUUAUAAGAGCCAGCACCCCUGCUUCUGGAGGACUAAACGCUGUGGUACAAUCCACUAGUCAGAACUCCCAUAGGAUCAGGCUGGGGCUAGACUUCUAAAGCCAUUCUUUGUUUAUCUUCUUUCCCUGCCCUGCUCUCACGCCUUUCCUGGUUUUCCCUCCAUAAAUUAUUCCUUCCUUUGCACAGAAUCCCUGGCUCAGGCUCUGCUGGGGAACUGGACCUGAGACCAGUACUUCAAAUAGUGCUUGGCACUAUGUUAGCAAUUAUUAAGGAUUAAAACAAUCAAAUUAUUUGGUCUAAGUCAGAUGUAUAAAUUGGAGACUUUAUUGUUUAGAAUGGAGUGACUUGCACGUUCGUCAUCAGAGCUGAUAAAUAACUGCUUCCACAUCAGCUUGUCUUUAUAAUUAUUUUUCUUUCAAUGGGAAUGCUUAAAGAAAGCCCAUUUCAGAGUUGUCAGGGAACAGUUUGAACAAGGACAGAGGGUGUCCAGCACAACUGGGGAAUGCGAGGCCUGACUCCAUAGCCGAUGAGCAGGCAGGGUUACAGGUGUCCUAGGUUUCAGAGUCUUGGAACAGAGCAGGAGAAGGGGCAAAGCAGCAGGUACUGGGAGGAGCUAUGGUUCAGCUCUCCCUCAUUUCUUGACAGACAGGAAGAGGUUUGUACCCUGGGGUACUUUAGCUGCUUGAAGUAACCAGGUCUUAGGCAUUGUUUUGUUCAAAUCAAGAUACAGGAAACUUCUCUCAAUAUUGAAAAAAGAGAGAAAAGGCAACGGGGAAAAAAAAGGAGGGAAAGGAUGGGAGCUUUAGCUAUCAGAAAGAGAAGACUCUUCCUGUGUAGCACGGGAGAGAAGGGAAUUAUCUAGAUUUAGGAGAGUGGACAGAGGCAGAACUCAGACAAAUUUAACUGCUAAAAUGCUCAUGUGUGCUACAAGGGCAGGAAGUAUCCCCCUGGGAAUGUGUUACUGUUGAGGAGAAAGGCCAUCAGCAAACCUAAAGGGGCCAUGUUGCAGGAGCAAAGCCCCCACAAAGGAACUAAGCUGCAAGCCCUUAGGUGGCAGUAUAUGCCAGAAGGGACAGCCAAAACAGGCAGCUGGGCCUAGGAAUUUUAUCUUCAAAAAUCCAAAUGCAGUCUUGAAGAAGUUAUCUCCCAUCUCCUAUCUCAAGAUGGAAAAUCAAAGCCACCAUGCAUCAGUUUGCAGCUGUGUAACGCCCAUUUGGUCAAUAGCCACCUCUGGCUUUGUUUCCUGGAAGCUGUGCAAUCAUCACCGCUAUCAUUUAGGGCUGAUAAUUUUGAGACACCUGUGUCCAGAUAAAAAUCUGGUCUCCUGGGAUUUAGAACCAGACAUUGAUUUUCUUUACUACCAGGAUCACUCACAGGAUAAAGUAAGACAAUGGCCAGGAGGGAAGAUGGGUUCAUCUGGAUAUUAGGCACUAAGGUUGGCUGCAUCACUGCGAUGGAAGAUACAGGAGAGGCACUUCUAAGGGUCUCAAGUCCAUUCUGACAAGCCUUCUUGGUAAAAUUCCAGGCCAAAAGAGGAGGCAGGAGGAUUCUCUGGAGCUCUGGCUAGUAUUUAGCAAGGCCCAUCUUCCUAGGCCUUGAGUUCACUGCCUUGGAGUGACACACCAUGUUUUGGAAGAGGUUUUAAGGUUAACCGUGCACUUUUUCACAUUAUUUUGGUCAGCCCUCAAAAUAAUGAUGUUAUUUCUUCUUUUUUAUUUAAAAUGAGAAAACUGAGACUCAGAAAAUUUAACACCGUUAGGAAGUGGCAAAGUAAGCAUUUCGACCCUGGCCAUUGGCUUAAGAGUCUGGUGUUCUUCAUCAGAGAAAAAAAGCACAGCCCUAUUGUGAAUAUGUUCUCAGAGAAUGUAUCUUUUAGCAUAGGACUUGUCAUUUUCAUCUUUUGAUUUAUUCCUUGAAUACUAUUUGCAUGUUUGAAAAUCCAAAACGGGUAAAACACUCCAUACCAUCCUUGUCCCUCAUCUGCCAUGCUCUUUCUUUCCAGCGCCAUGGUAACCACUAUUCUUAGUUUCUUCCAUAGUCUCUUUAUGUUCUAUCAGGAAGCAUGAGCUUCUUUUCUUCUUACUUCUUUUACACAAAAGUUACCAUGUUAUAAACAAUGUUUAAUACCUUCCUUUUUUCAAUUAACUAUAUAUCCUAGAGCUCUUUCUGUAUCAUUUUAUAGGAAGCUUUCUCAUUCUUCUUUAUAGUUUAUAGUAUUCUCUUGUAUGGAUGUUCUAUAAUUUAUUGAAUCAGUUCUCUAUUGAUAAAAACUUGGGUUGUUUCCUAUUUUUUACUACAAAACGCUCCAAGGAACAACCUUGUACAUUCAUCCUUUAGUACAUAUACAAGUAUAUCUGUAGGUUACUUUUCUGAAAGAAGAAUCGCUGUAGAAAAAUGUUUAUGUAUUUAUAAUUUUUGUGGAUAGUCAUCAGAAAUUGAUAAAGCCAAAAACUAAACACAAAGCCAUUUCAUCCCUCAUACCAGGGUUUAAUAAUUGGUUUACCAAGGACACACCCAACUAAUGAGGACUCCAGCUCAGUUCCUUUAUGAAUUGAGUAAAUACUGAGUUGGCCCCAAGGCCAUUCUUCAGAGCAGAUUCUUCCAGGGCUCUUAUCUUUGACUUUGGGUUCUCUCUCAUUUUUUUUUUUCUUUCGGUAGAUGCUCUAAGGCAAGAAAAUUGGAGACUUUUUUGAAAUUCUUCCUCUUGUCCUUCAGAUACAUCAUACUGGAAAACAGCUGAGACAAGCAUAUCUCUGCAACUGGCCUUAGUGAAACAGAAAAAUCACAGGCUCUGGGGUCAGAAAGACCUAAAUUUGAAUAUUGGUUUUCUCACUUUUUAAAUGCAUGAUCUUGGGUGGGAAUUUUAACCUCUCCAAGUCAUGCUUCUUUCAUGUGGGGAAGAGAAAAAAAAUACUUGAACCUAUCAAAAAUGGUGUGGUGAGGUUAAAGAUAAUGUGUGAAAAACACACUAAGGACUCAAUGGAUAUUUUCUGUUAUUUUGUAAAAUUGUCCUAAAAUACAUGCUUAUAAAUUCUUUUAUAUCAGUGUCGCUGGGGGCCUAGGACCAGCCUCUACCUGCAUCUACAUGAAUGACUCAUAACCUCAGCUUCCAAACCAUCUCAUUAUUGACGGUUUGCCUCUUGGUAAGCAGUUGAGGAGUGGUUUUCCACAUCCCGCUGAUGACACAGUGUUCCUCAUGAUAUGGCUGCAUUAGGCUCCAACCACACUUGUAACAUCAAAGCACCCUGGCUCAUCAAUUAGUCAGGAAGCAAUUUUUCACCAUUUGGUCCAGCACCUAAGCUGGCUCUUAAAAAGCACCAAGGUUUAUCUAGGGUCAGAUGGCUUAGAAAUCCUACAAAUAGGGCCACCCACAGCCACAUAGUUUUGUGACAGGUGUCUGGACUCACAAGAAGCAAAGACCCACAGAACACAGAGCAGACAUUUUCAGCUCUGAUCUGAGAGCUGCUGUUUCCAAGUCUGCAGAUUUAUCAUUUUAUUAUUUCUUGACACCCAAAUGAGCACACGAAGCUCUGUGUCCUCCUGGUGAAGGAAAGAGGCUCUUUGAAACAGACAACUCUGGUGAUGGCAGUAAUGCGAUGAUGGAUUAUCUUUAUGUUUCCUCAUUCCCUGAAUCCAUUAAAAGAGGGGAGUUGAAUUCUAUCUUAUCAAGAUCCUCUUUCCUUAAUUACUUUUUAAAUGACUGAAAUGAAAAUUUGCAAACAAGGCACGUGUUAGGUAUUCCUCUCAUCUUCAGCCUAUCCCUGACACCGUCCCAACUUCUGCCUUUCAAAGUAAUCCAGCAGCAAAGAUGUUCUAAAGUGUGAGUCACUCACAGAUUGUUCAGGGGGCUGAAGGAAAAUCUGCUAAUGGGAUUUGCAGUUCUACACCAGAAAAUAAUGAGAUAGGAAAUGGGCAAUGUGUACGUGAUUCUUCCAUGUCAUUCAGAAUAAUGAGAUCUUGGAGCAGCUUCUUCCUGAAUUGAAAUCAUUGACAAUGUAUUUGCAUAUUCAUUUUUGGAUACUUUGAUUUAAAAGUCAGUUAUGGAAGAAGUCAGUCUAACAUCUGAGAAUUGUAGGUACUUGAAAAGAAAAGAAAAAUUCUAUCCUACGAUUAUCUCUUUCCUCAAUGUUUCUUAGGACCUUGAAGAAGAGGUUGAGGGAACACAAACAUUUGGGUUAUAUUUUUAAAACUUAAAAAUAAAGAUUUGUGGAGAGAAUAUUGACCUAUAACAUUUGCAGCUUUUGCCUUUUAUUAUCAAGGGUUUGUUAAAGCCCAUCGUAUCAUCAUGAAGAUUUGAGUAGAAAUGUUCUUAUGCCUGUACUGUGCAAUACAGUAGCCACUAGCCACAUGUGCUAUUUGAAUUUAAAUUAAUUAAAAUUAAACCAGAUUAAAACAUUAGGUCCUUGGUAGCACUAACCACAUUUCUAGUGUGCCUGGUGGAUGAUACAACUCCUGGGUGUAGAAAGUGGCAGGCGUUUGUGUGAAUGAAUGAAAUCUCCCAGGCUGAAUGUGAUGGAGGCUUCUACAAUGAUUAAUCAACUAAGCAGCCUCUUUUUCCUCCUUAAUAACUUGGAGUUUUACUCGUCCUUCCUCCAUAACAUCUCUCUCUAACCAUGGCUAGCUGUGGAGAAAGAGGCUUGCAAAUUAAAGUUCAUGCAUUCAUGGUUCAAGACCUAGUUAAGCAUAAGUGGGUUAUCUGUAGUAAUCAAUCCUUCUGAAUCACCAAGUUUAUCCAAAUUUCUUGAUUCAGAAAAAAAUCAAGUCACAUCACCAAUGGAGUGGCUUUGGGAGAUUAUGUUCUCCCUAAAAAGAAAAAUGCAUCAGUUUUGCAUAUUGAUGUUAUUCAAUUUACAAGCAUAGGCAAAUAUAGCACCAUUUGAAAUAACACAAGAUUUGGGUUAGAUAUAUGCAAAAACAAGCAAGCAAACAAAACUUAAUAGUCCACGUUUUCUGAUUAUGAGUUCAUUCUCAAGUCUUGAUGAUUUAAGUCAACCUCACCCUUGAUGCAAAGCAAUAAUUAUGGGUUUUGUUGGUAAAAUCAAGUCAUCAUUCAAUAUUCAUGUGCUCUUUCAGAGAAAUCUCUUAGGCAGUUAAUGUUAUUUCUCCCUCCCUCUCUAUCCUUCCUCCCAACCCCACCAACCAUCAGCAUUGUUAUUCCAGCAGAUACAAUCAAAAUGUACACCACCAAAGGAAGUCUUAGAAGAACAAAAAAGGCUUAAGGCUUAAACAUGAAUAUCAAUGUGAAUCAUUCUAUGAGCUUCGUCUGGGGGGACAAAAGAGGUAGAACAGACUUAUUUGAUGUAUAUAAAAUGAUUAACUUUUACGGGACUUAUUCCCUACCAGGCACUGUUCCAUAUACUCCGUACGUACCAACUAUCACAGCAGCCCCCUUUCUCUGAUGAAGAAACUGAGAUAGGGAGAGGUUAAACAAUUGCACUCAAGUUACCAUAACCAAGCUACAAAAAAGGCAGUUUAGGACCACUGACUGUACUCUUAACCUUGAGGCCAAAUGCUGUGUCUACUUAAGUACCUGGGCUGGGGCUGCCUCCUUUGUCCCGAGUACAGCCUGAUAGAAUGGGCUGGCUUCUGGAGCUAUGGGAGGGCCUCAAAAUACAGUCAGCCCUGUGGCAUGUAUCACUGACUUAUCUGGAAGGUAUAAGGUAAGCUGAGGAACCACUGCGAUACUCACUUCCAGUCUCCCCCCACCGGGGCUGCUUUUGUUGGUCAGAUGUGGAAGGGAAAGCUACCUUCUCUACCGCCUUUGAUCAGACCUAGGCCACAGUGUGAAGAGGAGAGUGUGCCUGCUUCUUAGAGAAAGCUAGGAGACGAAUGUUCCCAGUCCUGCUAGCACACUCUUUGCAGGCUCUUUGGUGGGCUUGGGAUAACCCAGCACUCCUGAAGGCUACAGGGUGUGCUUUGUCUCCUAGACACAGAAAACUCUUUGGCAGCGUCUUAGCCUGGGUCCACAGUGCCCCUUGGGUAAGAUGAGGGUAAACAGGCUCCAAGGUCCAAAACAUGUCUGCUAUUAAGCCCCAUAUUAAUUUAAUUAAUUAAAACCUAAGAUAUAGUUGAGAAAGAAAAGCAAAAGACUUUCCUUUGUAGGAGCACCAAGUUAACCUAUUGCUAGUCGCCUCUUGGGCACACAAAUGAAAGCACAAUGCCAUAAACAGCAGUCCAGUCAGGACGCUUGGUCAGCUCAUCAUCCAGCUUCUUUAUGGUGGGGAGCUGCUAUGAAUGGCAGAGCAGCCCUGGGGUGGUAUGUGGCUGGGAAUUGACUCCCCUACCCUUUAUCUGCAGCAGAGUAACUGACAGAAGGUAGGGUUACGGGGCCAGAUAGAAGGGGAGAUUCCUUUCCCUGUGCUGCCUGGGUGGUCUUUUUGUCCCUAUCUUCCUGGAAAAGAUGAUUAGAUACAGUUCUGGGGUGGGAAGGAACCCACCCGCAUUGUUGCUUUGCAGAUAAGAAAACUGAAACUUGAAGUGGUAAAAUGACAUGCCCAAGGUCAGUUAAAUGUCAGAGAUUAUGAUCAUUGAUGUCAUCCAAAGAAAACUCCAAUUUUCUUCCAAGCUAUGAAGUGGAACCAAUUUGUAAUACAGCUUUCUCAAAGGGCUGAAAUCCUAUUUCUUAAAGCCUCAGUUUAUGUUGUUCAUGCAUUGAGCACUUGGGACAGAGGGAAUUGAGGCAGAGGAAAUUUUUUUAUUAUUAUUUAUAAUAGAAACUCCACUGUCUAAAGGGAUUUGAGGUGGCUUGUAAUGAAAGGCAGACAUAUCAUAAAGCUGUAAAAAUAUUUUAAAAGGAGAAAAAAAGUUGAAGGUUAGGAAAAAAAUCUGUAUCAAACCCCUAAGUUAAAGGCAGCCAAGGGGAACAGUAUGAGUAACUCAAUUCUCACUGCCUGUUGAAAGGAAGCGUAGUAAUGCUUAGCUACAACAUUCUUGGAGAAAAGUUAGUUGGUUAGCUUACUAUUAUUCUCUACUAAUUCUGGAGGGUCUUUUUAAAAAUUUUAAUUUAUUCAGGGAUAGGGCUCUGGGCCAGAUUGAUGCUCUGAUUCUUAAUGACAUAAUGGAUAGCCCCAGAAGCAGGUGCCAGAAGGCAUUACUAUCAUGGCUUCACUAUUACUCUGAGACACUAUUUUUAUUGUGCACUAUUUUAACCCCAUAUUAAUGACUGUAGAUUUUACCUGGGCACAUGUAUUGUCACCUAAUUAUUUAGUUGUCUUUUUACAGACUGUCAAGGUCUUUACUUCUUAACACAAGGACAUGCCAAGGCAGUACUGCAAGACAGGGAGACCUCGUCAGAAUUCAUUCAUCUGAGUUCAACAGCAUGUAUUGAGUACCCACUGCAUGCCCCAACCUUGCUAAGGAGCAAGGGAUAAAAAUGUGAGCUGAGCCUGAUUUACAGGCAAAGAUUCAAUGAUUUAUAAUACAAUAUGAUGACAUCAUAUGAUAACAGUGAUCAGAAUGAUGUGUUUUAGGAAUGCAAUAGAAAAAGGACAGAUUCUGCCCAGAGACAUUGGAGGUGUUACUCAAACAGGAAGGAAAAUGCCACAUACUCUUACCAGUUCUUGAUGCCAGAGAUUACUAAAGCAAUUUGGAAAGAUAUCGAAAAGGUGUUGAGAAAAUACAGGUGAAUUUUAAUACAUGAUGUGUAUUGACAUUUUUACUCUAGGUAGCAACAGAGAGACUUCUGUAUUGCUGGGGAGGAAUUAUAUGAGAUUUUGGCUACGGAGACAGGAUUUCUCACUUCUUAUUGGCUGAAAAAAAAAUAAAUGAAGCCAUUAGAAGCAGUAUUGAAAUAUUAAUCAUACCUUCCAAAAUUAAACACUCUUUUAAAAAUAAAAGUUACACAAUCUGUCUUUCACUUCAUCUUUGACUUUCAUCCCAACACUGGUGGGAGGAAAUAAGCUCUGGUUAAAAUCAAGACUGAAAGUGACUUUGACUUUGCAGAGAACAGUGUCAAGGCGAAGAACUUGACUGUAUCUUCUCUCCCACUUGGGGUCAGUGUUUAGGCACAUGAGAGAAGAUGAGGAACCAGGACAGGAAAUGGCAGCGUUUCCACCAAAGGUCAAGGGGAACAUUAAUGGGCUACAUUCCAGACCCAAGGCUGACGAUCUUCUUCAAAGGAGUCAGUGGUGGAAACACAGACUCAGAGCCACUCCCAAAAGGUACGAUGAGGUCAGGAUCAUUGAAGAGAGGCAGUGCACAGGGGGCGUUCGGGUGAGCAUCUCUAAAGUUACCUUUCUGGUUGGUCUUUGACAUCAAAGUGCGUAAGUCUGCCUUUCAUGGGCAGGUAGAAAUGCUGUGCAGGUGAAAACAGGCCUCUGGCAAGAUAAGAACAGAAAUCUUUGAGCUUCAAAUUACAGAUCUUUAUGUUUCACUGAAACUUGUCUUUACAGGGGUGUCAGUCUCCACUGUGACUGACCACAAAACCCUGCAGGAAAGAGGCUGUGGGUUUUCCUGCGUGGUCCCCAGACCCUAAUAUGCCCAUGUGGCUGCCUAAUACACAUCUCUAUUUAAAAUGUUCAGAAUCUGUGUACUUGGUAAGUAAAUUUCAAACAAUACCCUUCCUCUCUUCCGCUCCCUGUCUCCAGACCCCCAUUUUCCCUCCCUGAAGAUAACCACUGCUAGUGCAUUUUUAGACUUCCUACCGGAGAUAGAUAUUCUUCUUGCUCCGUUUCUCUCUCUCUCUCCACACGCACACACACUCACACACACACACACAUAAAUACAUAUACACACGUAAACAUAACAUAUACAUAUUUUUACAUAGAUAGAACUUCACACACUGCUCUGUACCUUGUCUUGUUCCCUCAUGUUCACUUAUCAAUAAAUUCUGGAGAUCAUUCCACGCCAUUCCAUACAGGACUGAUUCAAUCUGUGCAUGAAUGCAUAGCACUCCACUGCAGAGGUGAACCACAAUCUGUUCAACCAGGCCUCUCUAACUGAUGGAAUUUAGAGUUUUUCCAGUCUUUGUCAAUGCUGCACUAAAUGUCUUUGUAUAACUAUUUUUAUGUCUGUGGAAGUAUUUCUGAAAGAUUAAUUCCUGGAUAUAAAAUUUCUGAGUACAUGUACUUUAAGUUCUGAUUGAUAUUGACAUAUUUUCCUUCAAAUAUCGAGCCAAUUCAUACUCUAUCAAGAAUAUAUGAGGCCUUGAGAAUAUUAAGUGAAAGAAGGCCACAAAAGACCACAGAAUAUAUGAUUCCUAUAUCAUGAAAUAUCUAGCAUAGGCAAAUCCAUACAGAAAUCGAUUAAUGGUCACCAGGGGUUGGGGGAAGGAAGGAGCUAAAGAGUAAGUGGUAUUGGGUGCAGGAUUUCAUUUCGGUGUGACGAAAAUGUUCUGAAUUCAGAUAGUGGUGAUGCUCCUACAUCUAUAAAUAUGCUAAACCCCACUGAAUUUUAUACUUUAAACGGAUGAAUUUAUGAUAUGUGAAUUCUAUCUCGAUAAAGCUCUUAUUUUAAAAAAUGCAUGAGAGUACCUGUGCCUUCCACUCCCCUAUUGACAGUGUAUGUUCACACUUUUUCAUCACCAUUCUAAUUACAACAUCUUGCUUCAUUCCUUCUAAAGGAGGACUAAGCAGGAAAGAAAUAGAUUGAACGGGCCAACCAGGUAUUUUAGGAUUUGGGCUGUCAACUUUAUAGUCUAACAGCAAUGGAAAUGUCUAAGAUGGAAACAAUCAAAACAGUCAAGUUGUCAACAAUUGCCAAUGAAUUCAGCAGCCUAAAUGAAACAAGCAAGGAAUGAGACUUAAGAAUUUAAAAAAGGGAUGAAGGACCCAGUUCUUCCAGCCUAAAGGAUUUUGAAAUCUCCGUUUGCUUAACCAAGGACAUGAAUGCCACAACUCCUGAAUGCAGAACUUAAUCCAGCAGCGUGCCUCCAGUAGAAAAUAAGCUGAAGUUCAAUGUAUUCUCUAUGAAGAAGGUAUGGGAGCUGAGUAAAACAUUUUUGUACACCAUUCUAGAGCUACUGAUAGGCUGAAAAAAUUAACCAUUGCUUGCCCCUCUUAAAACUCAUAUUUUCAUUGAGAUGGGUUUCCUUUGGAUUCCAUUUCGCCCCUUUUCACCUCUCACCUCCAAGAUUAACCCUGCUAAAUACUUCUUUUUCUAUGAUGUCUUAUAUUUCAAACUGCUUGUGCCUUGUGGGAUUAAAAGCUAAAUACUCUUUAACAAGAGUAAUCCCCUAAGUGGACAUGUUUCUGAGAUUGUUAGGCAUUUGAUCACAAGUGAAAGAUGAGAAUGCAGCGGGAAGGUAUGAAAGCACAGAGAGUAGAGAGGUUCAGGAUUUUCACCUUAGUAAUAAUUGAUUGCAAAGGGGCUCUCCAAGCCAAUAUUUGCAUGAAAAUAGGCCCAUUCUUAAUUCUCAAGAAUAAGCUCAUUUUUCUCCCUUCCAUUGAGAAGCAAUAUGACCCCAAGGAAAUACAUCCCAGCAAGUGAGGCCUUGACACACUUGACCUUUCCCAGUUUUUGACUCAGCUUAUGUGGCUUUAAUAAUAACAGCUAGCACUUACAAAUAAUGCAUUUAAUAUGUGGCAGCCACUGUUCUAGGCACUCUAUAUAUACUGGCUCAUUUAAGACCCAACAAUCUUGUGAGGAAAACACUAUUUGUCCUGCUGCUAUGGACUGAAUUGUGCCUCCCCACCCCUGCAGAAAUCAUAUGUUGAUGCCUUAACCCCCAGUGUAGUGGUAUUUGUGGAUGGGCCUUUGGGGAGGCAACUGGGUUUAGAUAAAGCCAUGAGGGUGGGGUCCUCAUAAUGGGAUUAGGGCCCCCCUAAGAAGCGGCUCCAGACAACUUGCUUCCCUCUCCUGUCACUGCCAUGUGAGGACACAGGGAAAAGGCAGAAGAAUUUCUGAAAGUCAGAAGAAUUUCUCACCGGGGAACCAAGUUGGCUAUCACCUUGAUUUUGGACUUCCCAGUCUCCAGAACAGUGAGAUAUAAUUAUUCACUGUUUAAGGCACUCAGUCUAUGGUAUAUUGUUGUGGUAGCCCAAGCUGACUAAUGUAAACCAAAAUUAAAAUUCUAAGGCCCCUCAACCAUCUGAAUGAACCCUUCCUCCUGGCCAAGGACAUUCCAAAAUUAACCUGAAGAACAAGUUCAGGCUAUGAUGGGAAGGGGGAGCUGGACAUGCCUCAUUAUACCCUCCUCCCUUUUGGAAUUACUGGUAGAACGGACUCUAAGUUUGAUAAGAAACAUUUACAAUUUAUUCUCUCUGAAGUCUGCUACCUGGAGGCUUCAUCUGUAUGACAAAACCCUGGUCUCUAUGACCUCUUAUUGUACCCAGACAUUCCUUUCUAUUGAUAAUAACUCUUUCAACCAAUUGCCAAUUGGAAAAUCUAAUCUACCUAUGACCUGGAAGCUCCCACUUCAAGUCAUGCUGCCUUUCUGGACUGAACCAAUGUACAUCUUACAUGUAUGGAUUGAUGUCUCAUAUCUCCUUAAAAUGUAUAAAGCUGAGCUGUACCCCACCACCUUGGGCACAUGUCAGGAUCUCCUGAGGAUGUGUCAUGAGUGUGUCCUUAACCUUGGCAAAAAUCAACUUUCUAAACUGAUUCAGACCUGUCUCAGGUACUUUUGGUUUACAUUAAUAUGAGUGCUACCUCAUAGAGGAGCAAAUCGAGACCCAGGGAGGCUAUGUCAUAGCUUACCUAGGGAGAACUAGAAGAUGAUGAAGGCAGGAGUCAAACUCACAUAGUCUCACUCCAGAGUCUGUAUUGCUCAUUACUAUGGUCAAAUGCCUGCAAUGAAGGCAAUAGCUUGUGUAUUCUGGCCUCCUCUUCUGCCAUCCUGAAACUCCAAAUUAUGCCAUCAUGUGGACUCACAAAAGAUUGUGUUCAGGCUUCCACUGUAUGUCUCAUGUGUUUUGGAGUUUGUGCCCUCUACUCAUCUGGGAGCCUGGUAAUGGCUGGGACUUUUUUUCAUUUCCACUCCCUCAGUUCUUAGUGCAGUGCCUGGGUAGGUGUUUACUAAAUCUUGUUAAGUGAAUAUGUGUAAAGACGAAACAGCCUAAUCUCACAAAGUUUUACAAAUAAGAAUAAAUCAUGUGAGUUCUUUGCAAAGAAGAAUAUUGCAGUAUGACAGGCUGAUUUGGUAAUAACUCAGCUAGCAGAGACCUGCUUAAACAGUUACCCAAGCCCGAGAAGGAGCAAUUUUGUGCUGUCUUAUGAUAGUCUGAAUGGACUUAGGGGGAUACCAGUUUUCUGUUUUGCUCUUGGCCCCUUGCUCAUAAAAAGUACUACUGCAGGUUGGGCUGCUGCAGAAGCAGGCUCUGAGAUAGAAUCUAGUGUGCAGGAUAUUUAUAAGGAGGGUCCUUGGGAUCUAUGCAUUCCACAGGAAGAGACUAAGGCAGAACUGGGUAGAGGAAGAAGUUGAAAUGUGGUGCAGGCCCAGUGACGGCCUGGCUGAGCUCAUGAGAGCUCUUGAGCUAGAAUGGUCUUGCUAGAGUUGAGCCAGAUGGCAAGGUCUUCUUACUCCAAAGCUAUUAGUCACUAGAUAUGGGCUGCCCAGGAGGGGCUUGAUCAUGAGCAAGGCAGCUUGCCUGAAGGGAUGGCAGCUGAAGGCUGUCUGUUGACAGACUUCCAGCAGCUGGGACAACAAGCUCUUAUUUCAGGGAGGUCUGGGUGGUGUAUCUCAGUGUCCCACACAUGAACAUUACUUUGGAAUGAGUGUUUCCACAGCACAGGAGCCCAGCAUGGUGAGUAUUCUCAUUAUUACAGAAUAUUACUUUCAUCUCUUGAGCCGGAUUUUCUUUUAUGACUCUUGGCAGAUGCCCAAAGAUCCUAUGUCUGUGUAGCAUCUUUUUGAAAGGUUUUUUCAUACAUAAUAUCUCUUAUAUGAGAUUCCUUUCUAAGAACACUCUACCUCCCAGAGUCUGGCUUUAAAUUUGUUUUCUCAUGUUUCCUUCAUAUCUCAGAAGAAAAAGUUCCCUCCCCCUUUCUCAGGUUAAUUUUUCUUCUAUUACUUUGACUUGCCCCUUCUUGAUCUCCUACAAAACCUAGUUCUUUCAGUGAGUCUCAAGUCCCCUCAAUGUCUUUCCUCCCCUAUGCAGGGUAAGCCCUAGAAUAUUAUUGUAUGGGAAAUCGGGUCUUAGUAAGAGAGUAAACACAAUGAUGUGUGGGCAUAGAAGCAGGGAGGCCAGGAAUGAGAUGCAGCUCUGCUAAUGAAAUACAAUUUAACACACUAUAAGCAGGGAUUCUUCUAGGAAGUUUUGAUGAAUAAUUCUUAGUUGCUUAUUCCUCUGACGAGCCCCUGAGGGUUGUAUCAGUGGAAGGUCUCAUGGUGAAGUAGGAGGAAUGUGGUUUUUGGAGUUAUUCAGGACUGAUUUUGACUUAUAGCCAAGUCAACUUGCUAGCUGUGUAACCCCUCAGUUUAAUCAGUUUAGUUACCUUCUCUUAGCUUUAGUUUCCUCAUCUGGAACACAUGGCUUAUGAAGUCCUCCCUCAAAGGGUUGCUGUGAAGGGGACACUCAAUGAGAUGACACAGGUGAAGACUUGCAUAGCAUCUGGCACGUGGUAUACUCUGUCACGCACACGCUGCUUCCCCACUGAGGCAGUUGCACUGGGAGUCCAGCUGGCCAGGUGCCACCUCUCCUCUGGCUCAUUCACGCAUGUGGGCCCCACUACUUUUUGAUUUUACAUUUAAACCCAGUGCUCUGAAUUCCUGUCUUGCCUUUAUUGGUGAGAUAUCUCCAUCUCAGUUACAGCUGAGCAGGUGUAUUAUGAGCUGAGUGAAUGCAAGAUUGAACAAAUAAAAAAUACAACAUGUAAGUGAACUCAAAAAAGGCUUUUGGAGUACCCUGUAGUUCAAAUGGUUUGUGCUUAUUCCAUUCACAGAUGGCACAUUCUAUCUGCAAUGACUACCAAGCUAAGUAUGGCAAGAUGGUUUCUUAGUAUGAUAAGAGACUAAUAGGACCCUACUUCUCAUUUGUUAACCCCUCACAGUGUACCAAUAUUAAACAAGGUAUUUUAAAAAGAUCUGUUCCUGUCUUUGUGGUUAAUUUUUAAGAGUUAAAAUUCUUCUUGUUCUAUGAGCCCCUGAAAAUUCAUUUUAAAUCAACAGGCAAAGAGCCAGCUACGAGGAAGGGCAGAGCAAAAAUAAACUUUAUCCAGCAGUCAUGUCUUAGGGAAAGAAUUGGACAAACCUCUUCCUUGUUUCAGUAGAAACUUCAAUACGUGUAACAGAAUUAAGGAACAGCUAGAUUGAUGCUUGUAGAGGCAAAAAGAUAUAGAGAGUAUAUAUAUUUAAUCAGACUAAUCAAGCACACAUCUGUAAGUGAAUUUAAAAAAUGACUUUGCUUUGAGGAAGUUGACUCUCAUUUUGGUUUGUUUCAUGAUUGACUGAAUUAUUCUCUGUCUUGCAUGUCACCUUAUUUGACUUGACACUAAUCUGACAGAGGGAUGUACAGGAAAAUCUGCAGGCCUGGGUGUCAGCCCUGAGUCAGGACUCUGACUCUGUUGCUUCUUAGCUGUGGGACCAUGGGUAAGUUACUCAAUCCUCUGACCUUCAGUUCCUUCAAUAGUAAAAUGAGGUUUUAAUACUUACUUCUACUAUAGUGUGUAUAAAAUGUAAUACAUAUAAAGUGCCAGGAGUGAAGUAGGUAUUAAAAAUGCUAUAGUUCCUCUCUCCUUGCCUGCUAAUUUCCAAAAUAUCCUAUGGCUUUUAGUCAUAUGAUAAAUUUUGGUUGCUACCAUUUUUCCCUAUUAGGCACUAUUUACUGAUACAGAAUACUCUAUACUUAGUGCUGUUGUCAUAAGCAAGUCUCUAGACAAAGAGAGGAAAUUGCUGAGGCAGUUUAGCUUGACAGGUUGACAGAGCCAGGCUCUGACACUUAUCAAAUGUUUGACCUUGGGCAAUUAGUUAAACAUUCUGUGCCUCAGUUUCCUCCUCUCUAAUAUGUGGAUAUUAAACCUCAUUCCUAGGUUUGUGUUGAGGAUUAAACGAGUUAAUCUAUUUGAAGCCAUUAGCAUGGUGCCUAGCAAUCGUAGGAACAAUGUUGAUGUCAGCUAUUGAAACUGCUGCCCCUCGUUGCUAUGUUUGUGGCUGCCUUCCUACUCACAGCUCUCAUCUUCAGGAACUGCUUCCACCCACUAAUCGCCUCCCCCAGCGAUGUUUGCAUUACAUAAAUGGUGUAUCCAUCCAAGCCCCAACUGUUUAGAUCAGGAGUGGACGUCUCAUCUGAGCUGGAAAAAUCAGAACCCUCUCUUUGGUUUGGGAACAGCGAGUAAUUGAGAGCAGCCAGCUGUGGGCUGUGGAGCUGGAAGGUUGCAUAGACUCAGGUCUGAGGCUAUUAUCUGGUCCUUGAUGGAUGAAUGGAGAAAGCUUUCUGCUAAGAGAAUCAGGAAAGUGGGGACAGAUAUAAGAGAAAACCAGAGAGGAGAAAGUUUAUGGCCCGUAAGAAAUGAUGAGAGGUCCUGGGAAGAUGAAUUUUCCAGUUCCUGAGACCAGGCUGUGCUGAGCACUCUGCACUUACACUCUUGAGAUGCCCACAUUCUUACAUGAUGACGCUCCAAUUCCCAACCCCUUCCCGACCGGCUUAGGCAACUCUCUCUUCUGUGCAGGCAAAGAAGCUGUGAUGAAAACACUGAACUUCAGCAGGAAGUGAUCUACAUCCUUGGUCUACAAAUGUUUUUGCUCACAUAGUUGCAGAAUUUUUAGGAACUAUGUACCCCUACACAUUUUCAAGUCGAUAUCUAAAAUUUUUAUCUUAAGUUUAAAUGUCAUAGCCCAUAGAAUCUAAUAGUCCAUUGAUUGCAAGAUAUAUUUCUUUCACAGUAUUAUGAACAGAUAAGAAAAAAUAAAUGCUUACCAUUUUUAUAAGAUACACCCCAAUUUAACAGAUGUUAAAAUGAAAAAUAUGUCCCUUGGAAUCACUGAAAUGUGAACAUUAAGGAUAUAAUCCUUAUACAUUAUAAAUAUUGACAUUAAAAAAAGCCUGCUACAUUAUUCUUUUAACUGUGUCCAAAGAAUCUAAAUACUAUAAAGAUUUAAUAUUCACAUGAUCCAGUUAGAAAAUAUACUAGAUGAGCAUGAUGUACUCUGACAUUUGGAAAAUUUAAAUCUUUUUCCCCCUUGAAUCUAGAUUUUCAACCUAUUACCACACAAGAUUUAAUCUAAAUGUAUAUAAGGUAUUUAUGUAAAAAUAUAGUAGUCUUUAAACCUUUUACUUAUUCCCCUAUCAUACAUUUUUUGUAUACAUACAAGAAAAAUAUGCAUAUGAACUGGAAAUUUGCUUUAUUCUCUGUAUUCAUAAGGCUGUAAAUCUGCACUAUCCCAAUAUGGUAGCCACUAGCACCUGUUGCUAUCUAAAUCUAAAUGAACAAAAAUGAAAAAGUUAAAAACUUAGUUUCCCCAUAUUAGUCACAAGAGCCCGAUAGCCACAGUGGCUAGUCAGUAGUUGAUGCGUGGAUACAGAUAGAAAACGUUAGUAUUGAUGCAGGACAUUCUAUUGAACAGAGCUGCUCUAAAGGUUAAAAAUUUCUUUCAGAUACACUUAUUAUUUUACUUCUUAUAGGCAUUCAAUUGAUCAAAACAACCUAAACAUAUAACAUAAUUUUAUAAAUAAUGUAAUUGACACAAAGAGAAAACAUUUUAAGGAUUUGUGGCUUCUCAUCAAAUAAAUGGAGCAGAAUUUUUGUUUUGUUUUUUAAGUAGUUUCAUGUGUUGUGUGACUUAUUUCUAGAAUAAGAUAGAGGCCAACAUCAAUUUUAUUUCUAUUUUUUAGUUUUAUAAAUGGAAACACUGAGAAAUUUUCUUUCUUUCUUUUUUUUUGGAGAUGGGAGUCUCGCUCUGUCACCCAGGCUGGAGUGCAAUGGCACCAUCUUGGCUCACUGCACCCUCCAUCUCCCAGGUUCAAGCGAUUCUCCUGCCUCAGUCUCCCAAGUAGCUGGGAUUACAGGCUUGCACCAUCAUGCCCGGCUAAUUUUUGUAUUUUCAGUAGAGACGAGGUUUCACCAUGUUGGCCAGGCUGGUCUUGAACUCCUUACCUCAGGUGAUCUGUCUGCCUUGGCCUCCCAAAGUGCUGGGAUUACAGGCAUGAGCCACUGCACCUGAGAAGUUUUCUUCAUACAAAUAAGGAGAUAAUGAAGAACUUUAUCACAUUUCACUUCUUUGAACUUUUCCUGAGCCAAAAAAAAAAAAAAUCACAUAAUGAUCUAUCAUCAAAAUUUAUAUUUAAGGAUAAUUUAGCUGACAACUUUAUUAGGUACUUCAGUUCUGUUCAAAUCAAGGAUUGGAAACCACUUUGCUUGCAAAAUAAUUUGGCAUUAUAGCCAUCUGCUGUCUCAAUUUCUGGUAAGUCCCGUAUAUCAAAAACAUACCAAGAUUUAUUAAAUGAUCAUCAGUUGAACUUUUUGAGACAGGUCCUCCCUUUGUUGCCUAGGCUGAAGUGCAGUGGCAUAGUUAUAAUUCAUUACAGCCUUGAAUUCCUGUGGUCAAGUGAUCCUUUCCCCUCAGCCUUCCAAGUAGCUAGGGCUACAGGCGCAUGCCACCACACCCAGCCAAUUGUUUUAAAUUUAUAUUUUAUUUUUAGUAGAGAUGAGGUCUCACGAUGUUGCCCGGCUGGUCUCUUGAACUCCUGGGCUCAAGCUAUCCUUUUUUUGGCCUCCCAAAGUGCUGGGAUUACAGAUGUGAGCCAUCGAGUCAUCAUACCUGGCCUAAACUUUUAUUCUUUCACUUAGAGGCACUCUAUUUCACUAUAUAUAUCUAUAUAUAUAUUUUAAGUUAGGAAUAUAUUACUGGUUUUAUUAUAUUUUUGCCAAUACUACCUUUUUGUGCUAAAUGUUCUUUUCUUAUGCUUUAAAUACAUAUUUUUUUUUCCAGAAGCCGAAGCUACAAACUCAUUUAAUUAUGGGAAAUGUUGGUCAUGAACUCUAAUUGGCAAAGUCCAAAUUAACAUUCCAACAAAUUAGCCAAAUUAGAAUUACUUCCUGUCAAAAAAAGUAUGACUUCAAUUUUCAACAAACAUGUUAAUAUGUUUUAUCAAAUAUUAUAAGAUCUAAAGAGAAAUUAUGAAAUGCAUCUUGUAAGACAAGUCAGGUCAAGAUUAAAAUG
rnacentral:lncRNA from 1 species